UACGAAGGACCCAAGCGUUAUCCGGAUUCACUGGGCUUAAAGGGUGCGUAGGUGGGCAGGUAAGUCAGUGGUGAAAUCUCCGGGCUUAACUCGGAAACUGCCAUUGAUACUAUGUGUCUUGAAUAUCGUAGAGGUUUGCGGAAUAUGUGAUGUAGCGGUGAAAUGCUUAGAUAUGACAUAGAACACCAAUUGCGAAGGCAGCAGGCUGAGAGAACAUUGACGCUGAGGCACGAAAGCGUGGGGAUCAAACAGG
rnacentral:rRNA from 1 species